AAUAUUUGACAAUGGGCGAAAGCCUGAUCCAGCCAUGCCGCGAGGAUGAUGACGGCACUAGGGUUGUAAAGUCCUUUCGACGGAGAAGAUAAUGACGGUACCCGUAGACGAAGCCCCGGCUAACUUCGCGCCAGCAGCCGCGGUAAUACGAAGGGGGCUAGCCUUGCUCGGAAUCACUGGGCGUAAAGCGCACGUAGGCGGCUUUUUAAGUCAGGGGUGAAAUCCUGGAGCUCAACUCCAGAACUGCCUUUGAUACUGGAGAGCUUGAGUUCGGGAGAGGUGAGUGGAACUGCGAGUGUAGAGGUGAAAUUCGUAGAUAUUCGCAAGAACACCAGUGGCGAAGGCGGCUCACUGGCCCGAUACUGACGCUGAGGUGCGAAAGCGUGGGGAGCAAACAGG
rnacentral:rRNA from 1 species